rnacentral:rRNA from 1 species
GCAGUAGAACGCUGAAGACUUUAGCUUGCUAAAGUUGGAAGAGUUGCGAACGGGUGAGUAACGCGUAGGUAACCUGCCUACUAGCGGGGGAUAACUAUUGGAAACGAUAGCUAAUACCGCAUAACAGCAUUUAACACAUGUUAGAUGCUUGAAAGGAGCAAUUGCUUCACUAGUAGAUGGACCUGCGUUGUAUUAGCUAGUUGGUGAGGUAACGGCUCACCAAGGCGACGAUACAUAGCCGACCUGAGAGGGUGAUCGGCCACACUGGGACUGAGACACGGCCCAGACUCCUACGGGAGGCAGCAGUAGGGAAUCUUCGGCAAUGGGGGCAACCCUGACCGAGCAACGCCGCGUGAGUGAAGAA